UACGUAGGGGGCUAGCGUUGUCCGGAAUCAUUGGGCGUAAAGAGCGUGUAGGCGGCUCGAUAAGUCCGCUGUGAAAGUCCAGGGCUCAACCCUGGGAUGCCGGUGGAUACUGUCGGGCUCGAGUCCGGAAGAGGCGAGUGGAAUUCCUGGUGUAGCGGUGAAAUGCGCAGAUAUCAGGAAGAACACCUAUGGCGAAGGCAGCACUCUGGGACGGUACUGACGCUGAGACGCGAAAGCGUGGGGAGCGAACAGG
rnacentral:rRNA from 1 species